UUUAAUUCGAUGCAACGCGAAAAACCUUACCACUCCUUGACAUGGAAAUUAUACCUAUUCGAAGGAAUAGGGUCGGUUCGGCCGGAUUUCACACAGGUGUUGCAUGGCUGUCGUCAGCUCGUGUCGUGAGAUGUUGGGUUAAGUCCCGCAACGAGCGCAACCCUCAUCCUUAGUUACCAUCGGGUCAUGCCGGGGACUUUAAGGAAACUGCCAGUGAUAAACUGGAGGAAGGCGGGGAUGAUGUCAAGUCAUCAUGGCCCUUAUGGAGUGGGCUACACACGUGCUACAAUGGUGAUUACAGUGGGCUGCAAGGUCGCAAGGCCAAGCCAAUCCCUAAAAAUCAUCUCAGUUCGGAUUGUUCUCUGCAACUCGAGAGCAUGAAGUUGGAAUCGCUAGUAAUCGUGGAUCAGCAUGCCA
rnacentral:rRNA from 1 species